GCCGCCGUAGCUCAACGGAUAGAGCACAGGUUUCCUAAACCUGCGAUGAAGGUUCAAUUCCUUCCAGCGGCA
rnacentral:tRNA from 2 species